ACAACGAACCCUAAAAACAAACUCUUCUUCUUCCUUCUUCUCCCCUAUUCACUACAGAAAAGAAUUCUCUUUUCUUCUCCAUCUUUUCUUCUUCUCGAUUCUCUCUGUUUUUUCUGUCAAGCAGUUUCUGGAUUAAUGUGAAGAUUACCAGGAUGUAGGUGGUGAUGAGUGACGCAGUUGGAUGUCAUGGCACCAUUAACAUGGAUAUGAUCUUUAAGAUGAUGGACUGAAUAAGAUAUGGUAAGAUUUACUCCAGGUGAUAAUGCAUUGAUAUAGAUUUGCUAUUGAUUUUUUUUUCUUUGUAAUACUUGAACCGUGAAACAAACGCGCAGGUUCGGUUUAGUUGUUGAUUUGCAAUAAUAAAUAAUCAGGGUUUUCAAUUUGUUUGGUUUUCAAGCCACAACAAAAGCCCCUUCCCGCGGUUCACAGCUACCACCAUCAACAACACAACACCUUCUUAGGCUAAUACCACCAGUACCUUGCAUUCGCAACACCAUCCAUCACCUGCAGCUGCGUAUCCUUUUGUUGUAUUUUUGUGCAGGUGCACAAAUUGAAGAAACGUUAUCGAGAAUCCAGUGAGAACAUAGAUAUUGAUGAACUUCAGGUUUCUUAAUUCUAUCCAAUUUUAAUUUCUGUGUCACAAUUAAAUCUGGUGCUUUUAGUUUUUAGCCGAUAUCGAAAUAUUCAUGGGAUAUAUCUGCGCUACAAAACAGUACAUAAGAAGUUGAUUACUGAUCAAAUUUAUAGACCUCAUAUCAAAUUUAUAGACCUCAUGAAUUUUCUUGAGUUUUGUAAAAGUGUUAUCUGUGCAUAUAGUUCUGAACCUGACUUCCGGCCCCUGGCUUAUCCCUUUGCUCAAUCACAUUGUUGCUCCUUUGGGUACUUUGAUUCCUGGAUUUUUACUGACGAUGAACAACCAUUUAGAUCAAAGCGUACUACGGAUUCCGGUGAUGAUGUCCACGCUGUUUCUGGAAUUGAUGCGCAGUUGCUCAUUAAGAAAUGCACACACUAUGAAAUUUGAAUAACACAUUAGUAGUUUGUUCUUUUCCAUGUUUUUAUAACUUCUGAGGUAGUUCAAUUAGUUAGGACAGCCAGUAUGUUAGAAUGUCAUGUUUCUUAAUGCUUGCACUAUCAUUCAUCUAUUGCAGUCCAAUUAUUCUGCCA